rnacentral:tRNA from 1 species
GGGCCGGUAGCUCAGCUGGGAGAGCCUCUAAACCCCCAUGAGCGCUCCCUUGGCGUGGGAGAGGUCGCGGGUUCAAAUCCCGCCCGGUCCA